CGCGCGUCGACAUCGGACGCUAUGGCACACUCGUGCCUUAUGUGCCACCGAAGCCCCGAAGUGCUCUGGCAUAUACCUUCACAUAUAUGCAAUGGCAAGCCCUUCCGUGUGUUCCAAAGACAAUGCCUACGCCUAGCCACAGCAGCUCCCUCAUACAGACUCCGCAAGCCAAGAGGCCGUGGAGGCAAAUGCAGGUAAGAGGCAAGAAGCAAUAGUACUGGUAUCGACAUUCAUCUAAUUUCUUUCUUUUUCUUUCGUUUAGGCAGCCAGCACACCUCGAACAGCCACCUUGACUGCGGGUGUGUCACCCUAGUCGCCUGAGGGAAAGCGACAGGCAAUGUGAACAGCCACUUCUCCAUGUAAACGAUAAUCUUUCUCUCGGAUGACUCCUACGCCUCGCCACGCCAGCACACUUGUGCACAAAGAUGCCGUGGAGGCACGUGCAGGUCAAAGGCAAGAAGCAAUGGCACUGGUGUCGACAUUCAUCCAAUUUGUUUUUCUUACACUGAGGCAGCCAGCACACCUCGAACAGCCACCUUGACUGCGGGUGUGUCAGUAGAUUCCUGUUGUACAUAUGCUCAUAAUAAACUUCAGUAAACUUGAACUUGAUAAUAAACUUGAAGGCAAAUGGGA